AUUCUCUCUCCAAUUGAAUCUCUUAAAUUUCAGUCAAUAUUUUUUUCUGAUCUUCUCUCGCUGUCUUUUUUCCAUUUUAUUUUCUGUGUGUUUCUCUUCACUUUUCUUCUUAACUGUUUUUUAUAUCAAUUUCUUUUUUUCUUUUUUCUUUGCUUUUUUUUUCUUUAUCUGAGUCUGAGCUGUGGUCACUUGAGGAUGAGGAGUCACUGGCACUGGAGGAGUCUUGCAUUAAGUUUAGGAAGUCCCAUGUAUUCAAAGUUCUUGAAAAAAUAUUUUGACAAAUUCUGCUGGAAGAAGUAGUAGUUUCUUCACUCGAUGUUAUACAUUCAAGAACACUCCAUGGAAGUGAAUCGGUAUACAAGAGAUGAGCAAACAUCUUGGCAACAUUUCGCAAUUUGUUUCCAAGCGAUGUAUGGUAUCAUAUUGUUCCUUGAAAAUACCCUCAAAGUAUUCCAUGUAUUUUUUUCAACAUGCAGAAACGCCCGGCCAACAAGCCAAAAAAUUUUUCAUAUGUCCUCCGUUGGGCACAGCAGUCAAGUAUCAUGUUGCAAAGUUCUUUUGUUUGGCUGUCAGGGAACUCCAUUUUCAGCAAUUUAGCACAUUCUUCAAAAUCUAAACUUGACUGAAUAGCAAGAUAAAUUGUACGACAAAAUGACACUAGAUUGAUUUCUGUUUUGUCAUGGAUAGUCUUUUUGUCCUUCAUCUUCAUCCCCUUCUUCCUCAUCUUCACUACUUCUAGCAUCUUGAUCUGUAUUUGAAUCAUUGUCACCUUCAUCAAGAAUUUCUUUUUUAGUAGUUUUGUAUUUCUCUUCAUUUUCCUUAAAAUUUGGAUCCAGCUUGAAAACAUCAAGUACAUCCUCUGGAUUAUACUCAUGUUCCAGUGGAAGCAUAUGCGUGAAUUGGUCUUCAUCUUCCUCCACAAGAUCAAGUCCUUCCAAAAUAACAGGGUGAUCCUUGAAUCCAUCCUUACGUACUGCAAACAUCACUUCAAACAUAUUGAAAACCCACAUAAGUCAUCAGCAUUCUUAUAUAUCACUAAUAAAACCCAGCAGUUAGAGUUAGAGAAAUUCCAUUUAAAGUAACUACUGAUAAUAUAAAAUAUUUAGGAAUCUAUCUGCCAAGGGAAAAUCAGAAACUU
rnacentral:lncRNA from 1 species